GUGUUUUUCAUUAUCAAGGUCAUUUGUUUAGGGGUUCACAACAGGGAACCCAGGAUUUCUAAAUCACUAUGUGAAUUUCUUACUCUGCGAUUUCAAUUUGUUUAUCCAAGUUAAAACGUAAGUUCAAUCCGAGAUGAGUUCGGUGUGUCUUUUCGUUUAAUUGACACGUUUAUAAUGUUUUAAUAAAUAAUACAGCUCACUACUAUACGAUUGUAGGUUCACAGUUUGACACCUGACUAAUUGAUUAUCACAAAAAGCCAUAUUUUAUAAACCACUAUGUUUUGAUUGCAUAUCGAUCAUUGAAUUUAAUUAGACAAACCGGUUUUGACAGGUAAUAAUUAAUGUAAUUAGCAGUAUUGGGACUUCAUAAUUAGACCGGAAUUCGGAAUACACCGGGUCCGGUUUACAAAGGGUAUUUUAACAAAGAAUUUGAAUGGAAAAAUAUGGGACUUUCAUUUUCGGCCGGAAUGGACAGGAAACCGGUUUAUUCAGGGUCCGGCUUAAUCAGGUUUGACUGUAUAAGAUAAAUUUCAAAAAGUAAAAUUUGUAAAUAAAUAAAAUUAAGUUUUUCCGUAUUUUACUUCUAAAUGAACUUAGUUUUUAUGCCAGUAAACAUUUACAUUCACAC
rnacentral:lncRNA from 1 species